UAGUCAUAUGCUUGUCUUAAAGAUUAAGCCAUGCAUGUCUAAGUAUAAAUAGUAUACAGUGAAACUGCGAAUGGCUCAUUAAAACAGUUAUAGUUUAUUUGAUAAUGAAAUCACAUGGAUAACCGUGGUAAUUCUAGAGCUAAUACAUGCAUCAAAUCCCGACUUACGAAGGGGGGCAUUUAUUAGAUUUAACCAUCACUAGGUGAAUCAUAGUAACUUUUCUGAUCACGCGACAGCGUGACAAAUCAUUCAAGUUUCUGCCCUAUCAGCUUUCGAUGGUAGUGUAUUGGACUACCAUGGCAGUCGCGGGUAACGGAGAAUUAGGGUUCGAUUCCGGAGAGGGAGCCUGAGAAACGGCUACCACAUCUAAGGAAGGCAGCAGGCGCGUAAAUUACCCAAUCCCGAUUCGGGGAGGUAGUGACAAGAAAUAACAACUCAGAUGGUUAUCCAUUUUGAGAUUGCAAUGAGAUAAAUCCAAAAACCUAAGCGAUUAUCAAUU
rnacentral:rRNA from 1 species